rnacentral:rRNA from 1 species
AUUGAACGCUGGCGGCAGGCCUAACACAUGCAAGUCGAACGGUAACAGGAAGAAGCUUGCUUCUUUGCUGACGAGUGGCGGACGGGUGAGUAAUGUCUGGGAAACUGCCUGAUGGAGGGGGAUAACUACUGGAAAGGGUAGCUAUAACCGCUUACCGUCGCAGACCCAAAAGGGGGGCCUUUCGGGCCUCUUGCAAUCGGUUGUGCCCAGAUGGGAUUAGCUAGUAGGUGGGGUAACGGCUCACCUAGGCGACGAUCCCUAGCUGGUCUGAGAGGAUAACCAGCCACACUGGAACUGAGACACGGUCCAGACUCCUACGGGAGGCAGCAGUGGGGAAUAUUGCACAAUGGGCGCAAGCCUGAUGCAGCCAUGCCGCGUGUAUGAAGAAGGCCUUCGGGUUGUAAAGUACUUUCAGCGGGGAGGAAGGGAGUAAAGUUAAUACCUUUGCUCAUUGACGUUACCCGCAGAAGAAGCACCGGCUAACUCCGUG